rnacentral:rRNA from 1 species
UAAUACGGAGGGUGCAAGCGUUAUCCGGAUUCACUGGGUUUAAAGGGUGCGUAGGUGGACAUGUAAGUCAGUGGUGAAAUCCCCGAGCUUAACUUGGGAACUGCCGUUGAUACUAUAUGUCUUGAAUAUCGUGGAGGUAAGCGGAAUAUGUCAUGUAGCGGUGAAAUGCAUAGAUAUGACAUAGAACACCAAUAGCGAAGGCAGCUUGCUACACGAUCAUUGACACUGAGGCACGAAAGCGUGGGGAGCAAACAGGAUUAGAUACCCUGGUAGUCCACGCCCUAAACGAUGAUUACUCGACAUCAGCGAUACACUGUUGGUGUCUGAGCGAAAGCAUUAAGUAAUCCACCUGGGAAGUACGACCGCAAGGUUG